rnacentral:rRNA from 1 species
CCUACGGGUGGCAGCAGUGGGGAAUAUUGGACAAUGGGGGGAACCCUGAUCCAGCCAUGCCGCGUGUGUGAAGAAGGCCCUCGGGUUGUAAAGCACUUUCAGUGAGGAAGAACGCCUGGUGGUUAAUACCCAUCAGGAAAGACAUCACUCACAGAAGAAGCACCGGCUAACUCCGUGCCAGCAGCCGCGGUAAUACGGAGGGUGCGAGCGUUAAUCGGAAUUACUGGGCGUAAAGCGCGCGUAGGUGGCUUGAUAAGCCGGUUGUGAAAGCCCCGGGCUCAACCUGGGAACGGCAUCCGGAACUGUCAAGCUAGAGUGCAGGAGAGGAAGGUAGAAUUCCCGGUGUAGCGGUGAAAUGCGUAGAGAUCGGGAGGAAUAACAGUGGCGAAGGCGGCCUUCUGGACUGACACUGACACUGAGGUGCGAAAGCGUGGGUAGCAAACAGGAUUAGAUACCCGGGUAGUC